UACGUAGGGUGCGAGCGUUAAUCGGAAUUACUGGGCGUAAAGCGUGCGCAGGCGGUUCGUUAAGUUCGAUGUGAAAGCCCCGGGCUCAACCUGGGAACUGCAUUGGAAACUGGCGAGCUUGAAUGCGGCAGAGGGGGGUGGAAUUCCGCGUGUAGCAGUGAAAUGCGUAGAGAUCGGGAGGAACACCAGUGGCGAAGGCGGCUACCUGGACCAGCACUGACACUGAGGCACGAAAGCGUGGGGAGCAAACAGG
rnacentral:rRNA from 1 species